GAAGAGGCUUCACUUGAAGCCAUCAUCAAUAUAUUCAUGGAACAAU
rfam:Amazona aestiva scaffold_619, whole genome shotgun sequence.